rnacentral:rRNA from 1 species
GACGAACGCUGGCGGCGCUUCUAACACAUGCAAGUCGAACGGAGCUUGCUUGUCUGAUUCUUUCGGGAUGACGAUUUGUAAGCUUAGUGGCGAACGGGUGAGUAACACGUGAGUAACCUGCCCCAGAGUGGGGGACAACAGUUGGAAACGACUGCUAAUACCGCAUAAGCCCACGGAACCGCAUGGUUCUGGGGGAAAAGGAGCAAUUCGCUCUGGGAUGGACCCGCGUCUGAUUAGCUGGUUGGUGAGGUAACGGCCCACCAAGGCAACGAUCAGUAGCCGGCCUGAGAGGGUGAACGGCCACAUUGGGACUGAGACACGGCCCAAACUCCUACGGGAGGCAGCAGUGGGGAAUAUUGCACAAUGGGGGAAACCCUGAUGCAGCGACGCCGCGUGAGUGAAGAAGUAUUUCGGUAUGUAAAGCUCUAUCAGCAGGGAAGAAAAUGACGGUACCUGACUAAGAAGCCCCGGCUAACUACGUGCCAGCAGCCGCGGUAAUACGUAGGGGGCAAGCGUUAUCCGGAUUUACUGGGUGUAAAGGGAGCGUAGACGGUCAAGCAAGUCAGAAGUGAAAGGCUGGGGCUCAACCCCGGGACUGCUUUUGAAACUGUUUGACUGGAGUGCUGGAGAGGUAAGCGGAAUUCCUAGUGUAGCGGUGAAAUGCGUAGAUAUUAGGAGGAACACCAGUGGCGAAGGCGGCUUACUGGACAGUAACUGACGUUGAGGCUCGAAAGCGUGGGGAGCAAACAGG